GGAGCACAGGCACACAAUCUAAUGUAAUAGUAUCUAACUUUAACAGCAAAUUUGCCCUGUCUGGGAAAUAAUGACUGUCUGAACUUUAUAAAGCAAGAGAAUGAAGUUGGUAAUACAGCUCCACUGAUGUAUUGCAUUUUAUAAUAUGUACUACAUUUAAAGAAAAAAUUUAAAUAUAAUAAAUUUCCAUGAGGGUUUUGAAAACUGGGGGAAAGACACAUUGAAAUGGUGUAAUUGCUGUAGUUGUUGCAUUUUGUUGGAGCACAGAAUUAAGCAUGAAGCACCAGUUCACCAUCUUCAUGUAGUCAGUGAUGAUUAAGAAUUUCUUAUUACAAUUACAUUAACUCUUAGUUUCAGAAAAAACUUGCUAUUUGGACAUUUGUGCUGCCACUAAAGCUCUCAGAUUUCACUCAAGGGGAACCCCAAGGCUGUAGAACAAAGAUUAUCCUAAAUCGAAAGGAAGACCAAAGAGACUAUUUGGAAGAAAGGCAAAUCAAAGAAAUUGUGAAGAAGCAUUCUCAAUUCAUCAGCUGUCCAAUUAUACUCUUUAUAAUGCAGCAGAACAGAAUUAUGAAGGUGACAAGUGGAUUAAUAACAUUCUUCAAAGUUUCCUUGACUAUCACAAGGAAAGAAGAUAAAAGUUUUGUAAGAAAUUUUCCAGAACAUGAGGUGUUCUACCUGGACACCUCUUUCAAGGAGGGCCUGACCAUACAGUCAGGGUUCAAAAGAGCAGACUGCUCCAUCAGCAAGGAUGAGCCAGGAGCCAAGGGUAAAAUCAAGGCAGGCCCAAGCAGGGAGCAUACUGACAAGGGUCAUAAGCCCACAGUACCUGAACAAGAAGAGAACUGGUCCAGUGAUGUUGCACCCAAUAGGUCAAUGAUCACCACAUGCAUCUGUAAUAAUGAGGUAUGUCUAAGGACAAGCCAAGAAGUCAGGUCAGCAAGACAAGGCUGGAAUCAGCAAAGUACAAGGCUGAACCCAGGCACAGCUCAGGCAAAGAUCAAAGCCAAGGCCCAGGCUUCAGUGCAGCUCCUAAGCUAAGAUGGCAAACUCCUGGUCAAGGCUUCCUACAGCUUCUUCUCACACUGCUCCAUUCAUACUGGUCAGAUCCAACGUAACUUUGUGAUAUCAGAGCGAGUUUCAAGCUGUAAUUCAAACUCAGUCAUUAACUACAAGUCUUCACUGCAAAUUCUUUUUAGGACCAGGUUCAACAGAUUUUUACACCAAUUUAAGUAGAAGUUCUGCAAGAUUCUUUAGUUCUUCCCAUUUCUGUGCCCUCUCAAAAGUGAGAUGGUUGAGGUUAUUGCAUGCUCAGUAUCCCCAAUAAAAAUAUGUAACUGAUUUAUUUUUUAACAUAGAUUACCCUGAUUCCAGCCAUUGCUGCUUUGUAAACCUACUUUCUCAACCCUUUAUAAACAGCUAAAAUUCCAUUCAGAACUAAAUCUGAAAGUGUAAGAUCUCUACACCAGAUUGCUCUCACUCUUUCCCUAAAUCCUCUGAUUUUUAAGGUAAACUUUUCUUUGAAGGUUUUCUGUCUCUAAUAAUUGUACUUAUUAAGAAGCAGAUGAUUCAGAAGUGUUCCUGAAGUAUGUGAAGGCCAUUCAAUUAUUUUUUUCUUCUUGCUUUUGUUGAAGGCACUAGAACAAUUUGAUCCAAAUAUGUCUUCUUUAUAUAAAAUAGUAUCUUAUUUGUAUAAAAUAGUAUCUUCUUUGUAUAAAAUAGUAUCUUCUUUGUAUAAAAUCUUCUUUAUGCAAAAAUGUGAUCUUUCAAGUACAGGUGACUGUAUGAACUAUUUCUCUCUGCAUCUGCUUACCUGCUUAGAAUCCAGAACUGGAA